rnacentral:rRNA from 1 species
UACGUAGGAGGCGAGCGUUGUCCGGAUUUACUGGGCGUAAAGAGCGCGCAGGCGGCAUGUCAAGUAAGGUGUGAAAAUCUCCCUGCUCAACGGGGAGGGUGCAUUUAGACUGGCAAGCUAGAGGACGGGUAGAGGGGGGUAGAAUUGCUGGUGUAGCGGUGAAAUGGCGUAGAGAUCAGCAGGAAUACCCGUGGCGAAGGCGGCCCCUGGGCCGAACCUGACGGCUGAGGCGCGAAGGCUAGGGGAGCGAACGGG